UACGUAGGGUGCAAGCGUUAAUCGGAAUUACUGGGCGUAAAGCGUGCGCAGGCGGCUUUGCAAGACAGAUGUGAAAUCCCCGGGCUUAACCUGGGAACUGCAUUUGUGACUGCAUGGCUGGAGUGCGGCAGAGGGGGAUGGAAUUCCGCGUGUAGCAGUGAAAUGCGUAGAUAUCUGGAGGAACACCGGUGGCGAAGGCGGCGUCCUGGACCAACACUGACACUGAGGAGCGAAAGCCAGGGGAGCAAACGGG
rnacentral:rRNA from 1 species